UAACAACAGAUGAUGCCUAUCAACUGUUUAAAGUAUGGUUCUGCUAUCACUCUUGGGAUGGACCUGCGGUGCAUUAGCUAGUUGGUAGGGGUAACGGGCCGUACCAAGGCGAUGAUGCAUAGCCGAGUUGAGAGACUGAUCGGGCCACAUUGGGACUGAGACACGGGCCAAACUCCUACGGGAGGCAGCAGUAGGGGAAUCUUCCACAAUGGACGCAAAGUCUGAUGGAGCAAAACGCCGCGUGAGUGAAGAAGGGUUUCGGCUCGUAAAAGCUCUGUUGUUGGUGAAGAAGGACAGGGGUAGUAACUGACCCUUUGUUUGACGGUAAUCAAUUUAGAAAGUCACGGGCUAACUACGUGCCCAGCAGCCGCGGUAAAU
rnacentral:rRNA from 1 species